GGUGCUUGGGAUGUUGAGUACCUGAAUGUACAUACUGGUUUCCACGUGUUCUGAAGGAUUUUAUGAUUCGAAGUUUCGACAAACAUGCAUGGCCUGAUAAGGUCUUAUAUUCAUCCAGUUUGCUGGUCUUACGGUUGACUCCCUCCUUGCUGAAUGCAGAAAAUGUGUAAUCUUUAUGGGGCUGGAGUUCCCUGGAACAAGUGUAGCCAAAAGUUUCCAAAACUAGGGAAGACGCGGGGGUUGUUGCUCGUUCUGCAUGAAAUGAAGCUUAGCAUUCUGUAGUUGAUUUCGUGCACCCCUGAUCCUGACCUCCUUCACAGUAUGACCGAGGAUCAAUUCAAU
rnacentral:lncRNA from 1 species